UUUAUGGUAACAAUGACAUAAACUGAUUUAACUUUAAACGUGAGAACUCUUUUGCGAAAAAUCAUUUCGCAAAUAAUAGUAUAUAUCUCAUUUAUUAAUAGAGUACAUUAACUUGAUGUAAUUAUAAAAUUCAUAUAUUUUUAAAAUUAGUGUAGAUUAAUCGUUUUUGUGACAAAAAAAUAUAGAUUAAUCGUAUUUGGAUUUAUAUUAAAUAAAAUAAAAAUCAUACCUUAAUAUUUUUAUAUCG
rnacentral:lncRNA from 1 species